rnacentral:rRNA from 1 species
UACGUAGGGUGCGAGCGUUGUCCGGAAUUACUGGGCGUAAAGAGCUCGUAGGUGGUUUGUCGCGUCGUCUGUGAAAUUCCGGGGCUUAACCUCGGGCGUGCAGGCGAUACGGGCAAUACUUGAGUGCUGUGGGGGAGACUGGAAUUCCUGGUGUAGCGGUGGAAUGCGCAGAUAUCAGGAGGAACACCGAUGGCGAAGGCAGGUCUCUGGGCAGUAACUGACGCUGAGGAGCGAAAGCAUGGGUAGCGAACAGGAUUAGA